rnacentral:rRNA from 1 species
CGUGGGUAACCUGCCCAAGAGACUGGGAUAACACCUGGAAACAGAUGCUAAUACCGGAUAACAACACUAGACGCAUGUCUAGAGUUUAAAAGAUGGUUCUGCUAUCACUCUUGGAUGGACCUGCGGUGCAUUAGCUAGUUGGUAAGGUAACGGCUUACCAAGGCAAUGAUGCAUAGCCGAGUUGAGAGACUGAUCGGCCACAUUGGGACUGNGACACGGCCCAAACUCCUACGGAAGGCAGCAG